rnacentral:rRNA from 1 species
UGCCUCUCUCGGUUAUCUUUUUAGGAGAGAAAGAAAGAUAGUUAGUUAGCGCACCUCCUUUUCUCUCUUCUUCCUUGUUCCUUGGGAGAGGCCAAGCAGCGGACGAAGGAAGGGGUUAGGAGCGGCGAAGGGAGGGAGGCAGCGGCCCUGCGGUGCCAUGCGCACCUUAGUCGCUAUUUCGCCUCCUUAAACCCGCGUCCUUCCUAAACCGGCCGCCCGAGGCCCUAGACCAGCAAACCAGUAAGAAGAAGAACAACUAAACUAGCUGACCAUCCACCCGCCUAGGUGUUCGUCGCCGUCGGUACUACUACCACCUGUGCCAGUCGCGGUCGUGGAGGAAGUAGCGCGCGGUGGGGAAGCUGGUGGUGGCCGGGGUGGCCUGGGAGGAGGUGCAGCAGUCGACGGCCGGGGACCGGUGCGGGAAGCGCCCGGCGGCGGAGCACCGGUCUUCCGUCGGCAGCGAAGGACGCGUCGUCGCCGAGCGCCUGACCGGGCAGUCCCGCGAGCGCCGCCACCCCAAGUGGUUCCUCCGGCAGGGCGCGUUCCUCAAGGCCCCCUAGGGUCCCCUGCCGCUGUUGCCUAAUCCCUGGCUGCUGCUGCGGGGGGGUCGCCGCCAUGGCAGUACCGGCGGCGCCUUGUCCCGCCUGCUGGGCUCGGACGUGUUGGGCGACGACGCGGAGCUCGCGUACCCGACGCCGACCCAGCCGCAGUAGAAGCUCACCCUCCCGCACCACCACCUCCUGCUGUGCGCCGACCUCGCCGUCCGCACCGACUGGGACCGGCUCCUCCUCCCGUUCAGGGGUGGGGGCCGCAAGCACGACGCCGCCCAGCUCCCCUACUUCCGGCUCGUGCGCCAGAGGCUCCACGAGACGACCAGGUCCCUGGGGAGCCUCGACGCCGCGGACCGCCGGGCGUUCCUCCUCUAGGUGCCGCCCAACGCGCCGCGGCGGUCGGUCUACGCCCUGCCCAGCUCCCUCAAGUACUCGUGCGACCAGUUGAUGUUCUAGGGGGAACGGCAGCGGAGGUGCGCCGGGGCGUUCCGGCAGCUCCGCCGGUAGCUCCGGCAGCCGCGCGCCCCGAAGAAACUGCGGCAGCACCGGCGCCUCCUGCACAUGGCCCCGUUCGGACUGGGCCUCGACAAGGAGAUGCGGCGCGUCGACGACCCUAAGUAGGGGCUCGCGACGCAGCACAAGCCGUUGAGGUUGAGGCGGCACCUCCGGCGCGUGCUGCGGGCAUACUUCACGCAGCGGCAGCGCUCGUUCGUGGGGCAGAUGCUCGAGCCGCGGCGGCUGGAACAACAGUUCGCGGAGCUACUCGACAGGCACCAACUGGAGUUCUUGGAGCGGCUGUAGCUGAGGGGGCUCAAACCGUACCUCGGGCUCGGCCUCUACCUCCUCCUCCUCCUGCUCCGCGGUGGCAGCUGGCGGCACCCUCAGCUGCUAUAUAAGAACAUCCUCUGGGUCCUCGACGGCCAUACAUACAUGUAAACUAAACCUUAACCGGGAAGAGGACAACGUGUGCACAUACUACCUAUUAAACGCCAUCGCUAGUCCUUCCUUCCUUCCCGAAAUAAUAGAUAGGAAGAUUAGGCACAAUCCAACACAAUACAUGUACCUUACAUAGAAAUCUUGAGUGUGUUUAACAUAUAUAUGAACCUUUUCUUUUUUCUCCCAUGAACUAUGCAUAUGCAGUCACGUAACGAAGGUCUACACCUUCCACAUUAUUAAUAUUGAGUCUUCCUUGUAUACAAAUAAACGUCACUUACCUUUUUGUCUUAAUGUAUACAAUAGACGAACAACGGACGAGACAAGGAUGAACCUCGUCGUUUUAACAGAAUCGAAGAAUAGUAGUCUGCUUUUGUUUAGAAGGUGUACAGAGAGCACACUACUACAUAUACAUAAGGACACACUACUACACGACAACUAGUCUUAAGACAAGAAAGAACGUUCCCAUAUAAUAGUUCUAGAAGGUGACAACAAAUCUCAAAACCCCUAAGUUGUUUUAGAAUAAAUACAGACACAACAUAAAAACCGUUCUUAGAACUUAUUGGUGACCUAACGUAUACUAUGAACAACGGACGAUAUAUACACAAGGAUGGACAUU